rnacentral:rRNA from 1 species
GAUGAACGCUAGCGGGAGGCUUAACACAUGCAAGUCGAGGGGUAAAUGGCAGCAAUGCUAUGAGACCGGCGAACGGGUGCGUAACGCGUAUGCAACUUACCUUAUGCAGGGGGAUAGCCCGUGGAAACGCGGAUUAAUAUCCCAUAGAUCAGUGGUAUCGCAUGGUACAGCUGGUAAAGCUCAGGUGGCAUAAGAUGGGCAUGCGUCUGAUUAGCUGGUUGGUAGGGUAACGGCCUACCAAGGCGACGAUCAGUAGGGGUUCUGAGAGGAUUAACCCCCAACUGGUACUGAGACACGGACCAGACUCCUACGGGAGGCAGCAGUGAGGAAUAUUGGUCAAUGGGCGAAGCCUGAACCAGCCAUCCCGCGUGAAGGAAGAAGGCCUUAAUGGGUUGUAAACUUCUUUUCUGUUUUGAAGAAUAAGCUUGUCGUGACAAGUGAUGCCGGUAGGACAGGAAUAAGCAUCGGCUAACUCCGUGCCAGCAGCCGG